UGGUCGUCUCUCUGUCAGGUGACUAUGAGAAGGGUGUGGAUCAUCUGACGAAUGCGAUCGCUGUGUGUGGUCAGCCGCAGCAGCUCCUACAGGUCCUGCAGCAAACACUUCCUCCUCCAGUCUUCCAGAUGCUCCUCACCAAACUGCCCACCAUCAGCCAGCGUAUCAUCAGCGCUCAGAGCGUCAGCGACGACGACAUCGAGUAGAAGUCCUCCAGCAGCUCUGUGACAUCACGUCCUGUCUGAUUCGAAUCAGUCCGCCGCUCUGCCCCGCCCCCUUUCCAUCCAGUUUUCAAACAGUGCACGCACAGAAGCGAGUUUUGUUUUGAAUCUGAGCUUGACCUGUUGAAGUUGACGUGUGUUUCAGUGUAUUAUAACUACAGGAGACGAGCAUGACCUGUUUUUUCUUCGCCAAUUAUUUGUUUUACUAGCGAAGCAUUUUGGGUUUACACAAUUAUGAAAUAUGCAAGCAGUAAACUGUAAAGUAAAGAGUACAUGCUGCUGUCAUUUAUCUGUGUUCAUGUAUUUAAGUUAUUUAUGUUUAAUGUAGUAUUGUGGGACAGGAAGCACAUUUAAAUGUGUUCUGUUUUAGGGGAGUUUCCUCUUUUUUUUUAACUCCAAAAUAAAAAUAAAAUAAAUCAU